AACGCACAUUGCGCCCGCCAGUAUUCUGGCGGGCAUGCCUGUCCGAGCGUCAUUUCCCCCCUCACGCGCCCCGUUGCGCGCUGGUGUUGGGGCUCCUCCGCCUGGCGGAGGGCCCCGAAAGCGAUUGGCGGGCCCAGCUGGUUGGCUCCGAGCGCAGUACCGAACGCAAGUUCUCCCCUCGCUCGCGAACCCCGCCGGUGCCCUGCCGUCAAAACGCGCAUGACGUGCAACUUUUUACAAGGUUGACCUCGGAUCAGGUAGGACUACCCGCUGAACUUAAGC
rnacentral:misc_RNA from 1 species